UAAGGAAUAUUGGACAAUGGUCGGAAGACUGAUCCAGCCAUGCCGCGUGAAGGAUGAAGGCGCUCAGCGUUGUAAACUUCUUUUGUGUAGGAACAAAACCACCCAUGCGUGGGUGUCUGAGGGUACUACAAGAAUAAGCACCGGCUAACUCCGUGCCAGCAGCCGCGGUAAUACGGAGGGUGCAAGCGUUAUCCGGAAUCACUGGGUUUAAAGGGUGCGUAGGCGGUUUUUUAAGUCAGUUGUGAAAUUCCCUCGCUUAACGAGUGGGACUGCGAUUGAUACUGAAGAACUUGAAUCAGGUUGAGGUAGGCGGAAUGAGACAUGUAGCGGUGAAAUGCAUAGAUAUGUCUUAGAACACCGAUUGCGAAGGCAGCUUGCUGGACCUGUAUUGACGCUGAGG
rnacentral:rRNA from 1 species